rnacentral:lncRNA from 1 species
CAUGGUACCCAACAAAAGCUUCACCCAUAAAAGCUUUACCAACAAAAGCUUCAACUACAAAGCUUCACCAACAAAAGCUUCAUCAAUGGAGGACAACUACAAAUUCUCAAAAGCUUCACAUUAUCUUGAUCAAGAUUGUGUGAAGCAAAAUCAAUUCAAUGUACCCAACAAAAGCUUCAACUCCAAAGCUUCACCUACAAAGCUUCAA